rnacentral:misc_RNA from 1 species
GGGUAAAAUAAUGAAUCUACAGUAUUUAGAUAAAAAAAAUUGAUGUAUUGUAAUUAAUGUAUCAUGUGUGAAAUUAAUUAAAAUGUGUAUUUGUUAAGAGAUCAAUUGUGAUACAUUUAGUUAGAUGCUUGGGUCUUUUUUAGGAAUUGAUACUUUGAUGAAUGAAACAUCAGACUUGUUCUAAAUUAGUGUAUGCUAAUUGUAAUGAACAUUGAUUUAAAUUUUUAUUUCAUUGCAAAAAUUUUUAAAAUUUUAUGAUUUUUACAAUCUUGUUUUAAUUUGAAGAUGUGCCUUUUGAAUACAGUACCAUGUAUUGAUUGACGUAGGUAUUCAUUUUGAGAGCAUAAAUUUUAUUCUUUUUAGUUUUCAUAUUUUUUUUCUAUAAUGGGAUUGAAUGCUAGUUUAUUUCCUAAAAAUUUCCAUUGUUAUAACGUUAUCAUACAUGUAUGAUUUACCAUAGAGCUUUCAAGUGUGAUACAUGUACUGAAGUGGGCCAGAAAUAAUGAAUUUUAGUUCCUCUGAGCCAAAAAUGCAACAGGCAGGGGUUAAAGUUUAUUUUCUUUUUUCAAUGCAAGAGUUGGUAUGUGUCUGGUCUAAAUAUUAUUCUUUAUUUUGUCAGGCGAAAAAAAUUCAAAAAUAUAAUGACGCAGGCAGGUAUUUUGUUUCAUUGCAAAAUUUAUGAAGGGUAAUGUGGGAUUAUACACAUAUCUUAAAAUAGAAAAAAAAGCAAUUUUUUGCCCCUUUUCAGUAAAGUUAAAUCAUUGGUGAAGCAUUUAACUAAUAUGGCAAUGCCUGAGAAACAAAUCAGUUAUUUUAUUUGGCCUAAUGUGUUAUUCUCUUUCUUCAAUAUGUCAGUAACAUUGAUUAAAGACUGAGGUAAAUGUAGGAUUUCAAGCGUUAUAUGUGGAAGUGCCCGAAAAACCUAUUUCUAAUUUUGUUUUCUAUUUUGGCCCCAUCAGUACAUACAUUUUGAUUUGUUUGUUAUUUGUAUAUUAUUGACUGUGAACAUUAGUCAUUACAUAUGUUUUUAAGAUUCUAACCUUAUUGUUACACAAUAUGUGUUAAUUAACCUUAUUGUUACACAAUAUGUGUUAAUUAACCUUAUUUCAAUUGUUAUUACAUGUAAUUGUUUUGCUGUUUACCUUUAAACUGUUUGGAAAUAUCAAAUUCCUCUCCCGGUAAAUAAACAUGAUGUUAAGAGUUC